AUCUCCCCUUCACGCUCCAUCUGCUUCAUCAAAGUCUUCCUUGUGUUUGUUUUUGUUGCAAAACAGUCAAACACAAAAGAGAAGCUAUAAAGCAAAAUAACUCCUUUUCUAUUUCAUACUAUUUAUUUUUCAUCUUAUGACAAAUACAACUUUCUGUUGGCUUUUCUAGAUGGAAACAUCAGGCUGGUUAAUUCAUACAAGGGAUGACUCAAGCAUGUAAAAAAAACCCCCUGCAAUGUCAGAAGCUGUUUGCUCCCCAUGCUGUCUCAUGAAAGGCUGUCCCUGGAGCCUUUUCCUGUGUUGAAGCAGCUGGAGAAGCCCUUCUCCCUGCUGAAGGGGAAGAGACUGACAGAACAAAGUCGUUCAUUGCCCACUGUGUUGCUGAUCCCUCCUCAGCCAGCUGGUUUCGAACACAGCCUGGUGUCAAGUUUGUAUUUCAGAAAGCUAAUUAUGCCGCAAUAUGUGGAUAGCUAUAGUUGAGAAUUCGCAGCAGAAGUUCCAAAAUAAGUGUUUACUGCAUUGCUGUGUAUUUGUUUUCACCUGUGUAAGAUGCUCUAGACUUGCCUAAACAAGGUGGAGAGAUGUUUUAAAUGAAUCGAGGUGGAAAUGAGGUAUUGGUUUUUGGAAAAAGUCUUCUAGAUAUUCAGGAACAAAUAAAUUUGAAACUUAGUGAAAAUAGUUUGACAUGUUUUACCCCUGAUAAGGCAAAAGUGGCAAAAUGCUUGUGUCCUUGGCAUAUAGAGCCUGUUCAUCUGCAGGAUCUGCUACAUUCUAAUUAAGGGCUCAGUGAGGGACCUGACCCACAGUUUGGAGGUGCUUAUUAAAUUCCUUUGGUUUCAGCCACUUGCUGUGAUAAUACAGGAUAAAAAUUUUACUUAGAGGAUAAUAAGAAACCAUUCUUGUUGGAGACUUUGCUGCGAUAUUUUCAGAGGAGAUAUACAAGUUCUAAUUUAAUGCAUAAUGAAUAAUCUAGUUUCCUGUUUGAAACUUAAGGCCUUCCCUCAGCACUGUUUCAUGCACCAGCUGCUUGUGAUGCCUCUCCUGUGGCAAAUAAUAAAAAAAAAAAAAAGGCAUUAGUAGCUCAAGAAAAUUAAGAAAUACCAAGGUCAGGAGACUGCUGACAUGGAUAAUGAAAGAAAUCAGGAAGGUGAGAGGGCAGACAGAGUAUCAAAUGUCUUACAGAAGGCUGAAGUGGAAAUUUCAUUGUUGAAAUGAGCUGGGAUAAGAUCAGGCCUCUGAAGAUGGUUGAUGGAGGUUGGCAUCUCCACUGCAGAUGCAGGGAAGGGUAGAAGUGGCUGUAGGGCAUAAGCGGAAAUCUCUCCAGGCAGUGCUGCAAGGGCGAUGCGUCAGUAGGAUGCUGUGAAGAAAGUAAUAUGUUGAGUCUGGCAAAACAGAAGGGAACAAAUUGUAAGCUGAGGUAAAAAUUAAAUGAAAAAGAAUAAAAAAUACUUUUACUUUAAAAGCGCUAGCAUUUUGAAUUUGGAGGUGAGAAGUGAUUUGAAAUGUUUUUUGUUUAAGCAAACACAGAUAUUGAAUAUUUUUAGAAAUGGAAGAACUUCUUAUUUUUAAUUUUCAAGUUUUAAACCCCAUUUGAUCUUUCCUUAAACAACUCAAUUAAAUGUAAAAGAAUAAAAUUGUUCUAUGAAUAAUUUCAGUUAAAAUGAUUUGGAUUUGAUCAAAAUAUUUUGCUCAUCUGUCCCAGUGAAUAGCAUCAGAUCAAAUGUCUUACUGUGUUUAAAGGCGGAUUUAGGAUGGUGUCUUGUUGCACAAUUAUUGAUGAAAUUCUUUAAACAUUUGUCACCUUCAUACUGUGUGCAAUCCAGCUUCUCCCACCCUCAGGGUAGGAGAGCUCUUGAAUAUUCUGAGUGAAUUAAUUAGUGCACCAGUGGUGAUUAUUUCUACCACCUCUGGACAGUACAAAGUUUUUGUUAUCUUUCACAUAGAUAGAAAAAAACCCAACAACAACCCC